rnacentral:lncRNA from 1 species
CCUCAGACCCAGGGUGUGCUUGGAUUUGCUCCACAGACACUGGGUAAUUACUACCCUCCAGAUCUGAGGCUUUUCAAGGAUUUAUGGGGCUGGCAUGUGGAAAAAAAGGCAGACUGGGCAGGAUGGAGCAGGGUCUCAGCAGAGCUCCAGGCUGCAAACAGAGCUUGGCUCUGCAACCAGCUCCCGUCCUUUUGCUCUGGGAGCAAAUACUGUGAUCUCAUCACACCCACCCUGCAGUCCAACCAGCCUGGAAAACUCUGUCACGGCUUCAAGCUGGUGCAUUCAAGGGAAUGAGUAUCUUUAUCUGACUCAUGGAAGUUUAAGAAUGCAUUGGAUAAAUGCAAGUUGAAUCGAGGUGAUUGUGCAUUAGUGCCCCUGGUUGUGAAUUCCCCUUCGUGUCUGAAGAAUAUCCAAAGGUGAUGGGAACAAGCCCAGCAAAGCCCUGAUGGAUCCUGCACCAGCCACUAGAGCUGGGCUUGGAGUUCUCUUUCUGCAAAUCACUCCAUCUUCCCUCUUAGAAAUGCAACAAAUGUAAAGGAAAGGACCCAACUGCGACUGGAGGAGAAGUGUUUUCAAGCCAGAGAGCUUUGUUCUUACCCUCCGUGCUCCAGACAUCCACCAGAGCGAGACAGAGCAGGAUGUGGUGCCAAAAUUAAUAUUAUUUUUGGAAAGAGAUUGAUCCUGGAAAGUAAGUUCAUGAAAGAGGAAGAGAAACAAGGGAUUGUUAGUUAAGGUCACUUUGAGGUCUGGCACUCGUGACCCAGAAAAGCCCAAAAGCUUUGGAUUCAGUCCCCCCAAACACAGAAGGAACCGACUGCGAUUGCAUCAUUCCAGGAGAGCACGGGGCAAUUCCACAGGCAGGAAUGGAACAACUUUGCCGUGUUGGGAAGGGUUUGACAGCACCCAUAAGCACCUCUAGGUGAGCCUGCUGCUCACACCAGCCUGCCAAGAACAUGCCCAUCCUCGGGACUCUGGGAAUGUUGGGAACUGCUGGGCCCCUGUGGCUGGGCACGGAGCUCGGCUCUCUCACCACUUCCUUCCUCCACAGCAAACAGA